rnacentral:rRNA from 1 species
UACAGAGGUGGCAAGCGUUGUCCGGAAUCACUGGGCGUAAAGGGCGCGUAGGCGGUCUGUCGCGUCGGCUGUGAAAACCCGAGGCUCAACCUCGGGCCUGCAGUCGAUACGGGCAAACUAGAGUACUGCAGGGGAGACUGGAAUUCCUGGUGUAGCGGUGAAGUGCGCAGAUAUCAGGAGGAACACCGGUGGCGAGGGCGGGUCUCUGGGCAGUAACUGACGCUGAGGAGCGAAAGCGUGGGGAGCGAACAGG